AGCUCUUGAAGAAGGUGAAUUUUCAAUACCCACAUGCAUUUUUCCCCAUACACGUUUAUGUUUACAACCUCAUCAGGAUUUGUGUGCUUAAAUUCUGUACCUGUGUGGUUUUAUGCUUGCUGAGCAAUGCGGAACUGUAUUGUUAUUGUAUUGGAAAGUGGAAACUUCAUUAUCAGGAGUUAGCUAUCUUCGCAGGUUAUUAAAAAGCG
rnacentral:misc_RNA from 1 species